UUUAUGUGCUAAAACUGUUCAUGUCUAACGUUUGACUGCUCGUUUUAUUUGAAAAAAAUAUGAUUAGUAUUUUUAUUAUUAUUACAUAAUAAAACAUUAGUACUUUAUGUGUGACUAAUUUUUUAAAAAAUUUUCAUAAAUUUUUCAAAUAAAACGAACGGUCAAAACGCUAAACACGGAUAUCUAUGGCUGUAUUUAUU
rnacentral:pre_miRNA from 1 species